rnacentral:rRNA from 1 species
AGAGUUUGAUCCUGGCUCAGAACGAACGCUGGCGGCAGCCUAACACAUGCAAGUCGAACGCGACCUUCGGGUCGAGUGGCGCACGGGUGAGUAACGCGUGGGAAUCUGCCCUGUGGUACGGAAUAACAUCGGGAAACUGGUGCUAAUACCGUAUAUCCCCUGAGGGGGAAAGAUUUAUCGCCAUGGGAGGAGCCCGCGUAGGAUUAGCUAGUUGGUGAGGUAACGGCUCACCAAGGCGACGAUCCUUAGCUGGUCUGAGAGGAUGAUCAGCCACACUGGGACUGAGAUACGGCCCAGACUCCUACGGGAGGCAGCAGUGGGGAAUAUUGGACAAUGGGGGAAACCCUGAUCCAGCCAUGCCGCGUGUGUGAUGAAGGCCUUCGGGUUGUAAAGCACUUUCGCACGUGACGAUGAUGACGGUAACGUGAGAAGAAGCCCCGGCUAACUUCGUGCCAGCAGCCGCGGUAAUACGAAGGGGGCAAGCGUUGUUCGGAAUUACUGGGCGUAAAGGGCGCGUAGGCGGUGCACUAAGUCAGGCGUGAAAGCCCUGGGCUCAACCCGGGAAUUGCGCUUGAUACUGGUGCGCUUGAAUCCAGGAGAGGUUGGUGGAAUUCCCAGUGUAGAGGUGAAAUUCGUAGAGAUUGGGAAGAACACCGGUGGCGAAGGCGGCCAACUGGACUGGUAUUGACGCUGAGGCGCGAAAGCGUGGGGAGCAAACAGGAUUAGAUACCCUAGUAGUCC